CAUCAAGUGAAGCAGUUUUCUGCUUUACCUGGAUAUGGAAGUUGGUAGAAUGUUGGCCGGCCCCUAAUCCCAUAGUUAUGGAGAACGCCAGUUGAACUGCUUUUCUAGGCUGCCAGACUCCUCCCAAGCCACAUCAUCUGGAGUAGUGACCUGAGAAGGCUACAGGUGCAGGUUAGGCAGAGGAAUACUUUGCCCUAGAAUUCAAAAAUUCACUAGCAACUGCUGUAGGUAUUCUGGAGUGUUCUAGAAGAGCUUCACAUACAGGAUAACCACAAAGGGGACAGAGUUUUCCAGAGAAACUGAACCAACAGGAAGUGUGUGUAUGUACAAACAAGGAGAGAGAGAGCACUUUGAAAGAAUUGGCUCACAUAAUUGUGGGAUCUGGAAAGUCUGUAAUCUGCAAGGCAACCAGCAGGCUGGAGACCCACAGAAGAGUUGACAUUGAAUCUUCCAGUGUGAAAGUCUUUUGGAGGACGAAUUUCUUCUCAAGAGACCUUAGCCUUUUCUCUCACACCUUCAGCCGCCUGGAUGAGGCCCAUCCACAUUAUAUAAUAUAAAGCAAUAGAAACAUUGGAGUUACGAAAAGGAUUUGCACAGAAGAGAUGGAACAGCCGGGCAGCAGAAAUAGCCAGAAAUUUAGCAUAAGGUGAUAGAAUGUCCAUUGUGUGCCAGAUGCUGUGUUUGGUCCAAGAAUAGGAAGUCAACGUCACAGACCCUUCUUUCAAAAAGCUCACGUCUAGGGAGAGCAUGACUGAAGAAAAAGAGAAUGACUGAAAGCUAUGUAUAAAAGGGGGGAUUUGCAGAACCACAGCAACAACCUAUAGCAUAGAUCAUGGGACAUAGCUCGCAAUAAUUCCCCCAUAUUUGCCACAAAAGGGCUUCAUUUCCUAAAGAAGCAAACGGUUGUAGAUGAGCCUCCAGGUGCUACAAGAGAGCAGUAGCUGGAAAGAACAGGAGAGUUUUUGCCUACGCAUAGGCAAAGAUGGUUCCGGCUACCCAUCUCGGACCUUCUCAGACCAAGCAGAGCUGCAGCCUCUGGGCUUGUCUUACCUUGUAAUGCAUUUGGAAAGCACCAUAUACUCAGGAAUAGAAAAGUCUGCUGGUGAUCUCUUCCAGACUGUCUGCCCGGAGAACUUUGGGCUCUGACAUGAGAUGUGGAGACAGCCUUGCAGAGACUUCUUAGCCAGCUGCCAUAAUUAGGAUGCAUAUAUGAUAUGUGGGAACUGGCACUAGUCUGUGUCCUGUGUGAACAUCAGGAGUCAAGCAGUGGUGGAUGGGGACCAUGAAAUCCAAACUAGUUGAAAUGUUUACGCAUUGCUCGAACUCCAAAAUGCUGGUCAGUAGUUCUUUUCCGGCUAUGUCUUCACACCUUCAAAUUAGUCCAUUUUUUUCCUCCACGUUUCAUUGUCAAACAAGACUUUGUAGAAAAAUGUAAGUAAUAAACUUCUUUUCAUC